UACGUAGGGGGCAAGCGUUGUCCGGAUUUAUUGGGCGUAAAGAGCGUGUAGGCGGUUUUACAGGUCCGCUGUGAAAACUCGAGGCUCAACCUCGAGCUGUCGGUGGAAACCGUAAGGCUAGAGUCCGGAAGAGGAGAGUGGAAUUCCUGGUGUAGCGGUGAAAUGCGUAGAUAUCUGGAGGAACACCGGCGGCGAAGGCGGCAUUCUGGACCGACAUUGACGCUGAGGAGCGAAAGCCAGGGGAGCAAACGGG
rnacentral:rRNA from 1 species